rnacentral:rRNA from 1 species
UAAUAGGCGGCUUGCUAGAAUGCAAGUGGAACGCUGAUCACGAGGUAGCAAUAUUUCGUGGUCGGAGUCGCGUAAGGGUGCGUAACACGUGGGUAAUUUGCCGCGAAGCCUGGAAUAACCUGCCGAAAGGUAGGCUAAUACCGGAUGUGAUUACUGGGAGGCAUCUUCUGGUGAUUAAAGCUGGGGACCGCAAGGCCUGGCACUUCGCGAUAAGCCCGCGGCCUAUCAGCUAGUUGGCGGGGUAACGGCCCACCAAGGCUAAGACGGGUAGCUGGUCUGAGAGGACGACCAGCCACACUGGAACUGAGACACGGUCCAGACACCUACGGGUGGCAGCAGUCGAGAAUUUUUCACAAUGGGCGAAAGCCUGAUGGAGCGACGCCGCGUGGGGGAUGAAUGGCUUCGGCCCGUAAACCCCUGUCAUGCGCGAACAAUGCUGACGGCCUAACACGUUGUCAGUUGAUAGUAGCGCAAGAGGAAGGGACGGCUAACUCUGUGCCAGCAGCCGCGGUAAUACAGAGGUCCCAAGCGUUGUUCGGAUUCACUGGGCGUAAAGGGUGCGUAGGCGGUCGGGUAAGUCCGAUGUGAAAUCCCGGAGCUUAACUCCGGAACGGCAUCAGAUACUGCCUGGCUAGAGGGGUGGAGGGGGGACUGGAAUUCUCGGUGUAGCAGUGAAAUGCGUAGAUAUCGAGAGGAACGCUAGUGGCGAAGGCGAGUCCCUGGACACCAUCUGACGCUGAGGCACGAAAGCUAGGGGAGCAAACAGGAUUAGAUACCCUGGUAGUCCUAGCUGUAAACGGUGCACGUUUGCUGUGGGCGGAAUCGACCCCGCCCGUGGCGUAGCUAACGCGUUAAACGUGCCGCCUGGGAAGUACGGUCGCAAGAUUAAAACUCAAAAGGAAUUGACGG